UCUGAUGGCAUUAAGGAAGUCCAGCAU
rnacentral:piRNA from 1 species